rnacentral:rRNA from 1 species
UGAGGAAUUUUCCGCAAUGGGCGAAAGCCUGACGGAGCGACGCCGUGUGGGUGAUGAAGGUUUUCGGAUCUUAAAGCCCUGUCAGCGAGAGCGAUAAUGACGGUACUCGCAGAGGAAGCCCCGGCUAACUACGUGCCAGCAGCCGCGGUAAUACGUAGGGGGCGAACGUUGUCCGGAAUUAUUGGGCGUAAAGCGCAUGUAGGCGGUCUUUUAAGUCAGAUGUUAAAUCCCCGGGCUCAACCCGGGUCCGCAUUUGAUACUGAAAGGCUAGAGAAAUAUAGAGGAAAGCGGAACUUCCGGUGUAGCGGUGAAAUGCGUAGAUAUCGGAAGGAACACCAGUGGCGAAGGCGGCUUUCUGGAUAUUUUCUGACGCUGAGAUGCGAAAGUUAAGGGAGCAAACGGG